UGGGGAAUUUUGGACAAUGGGCGAAAGCCUGAUCCAGCAAUGCCGCGUGUGUGAAGAAGGCCUUCGGGUUGUAAAGCACUUUUGUCCGGAAAGAAAUCCUUGGCUCUAAUACAGUCGGGGGAUGACGGUACCGGAAGAAUAAGCACCGGCUAACUACGUGCCAGCAGCCGCGGUAAUACGUAGGGUGCAAGCGUUAAUCGGAAUUACUGGGCGUAAAGCGUGCGCAGGCGGUUUGCUAAGACCGAUGUGAAAUCCCCGGGCUCAACCUGGGAACUGCAUUGGUGACUGGCAGGCUAGAGUAUGGCAGAGGGGGGUAGAAUUCCACGUGUAGCAGUGAAAUGCGUAGAGAUGUGGAGGAAUACCGAUGGCGAAGGCAGCCCCCUGGGCCAAUACUGACGCUCAUGCACGAAAGCGUGGGGAGCAAAACAGGAUUAGAUACCCUGGUAGUCCACGCCCUAAAACGAUGUCAACUAGUUGUUGGGGAUUCAUUUCCUUAGUAACGUAGCUAACGCGUGAAGUUGACCGCCUGGGGAGUACGGUCGCAAGAUUAAAACUU
rnacentral:rRNA from 1 species